GUCCUCUUGAUAAUAAUUUGAGGUUUAACCUGCCCACUGAGGAUUUUAACGGCCGCAGUAAUUUGACUGUGCAAAGGUAGCAUAAUCAUUAGUUUUUUAAUUAAAAGCUUGUAUGAAGGGUUGGACGAGGUAAAAUCUGUCUCUAUUUAAUUUAUAAUAGAAUUUAAUUUUUAAGUUAAAAAGCUUAAAUUUAAAUAAAAGACGAGAAGACCCUAUAGAUCUUUAUAGUAUUUAAAUUAAUUUUAAUUAAGAAUUUUUUAUUAAUUAAUUUAUAUAUUAUUUUAUUGGGGUAAUAAAAAGAUUUAAAAAAUUCUUUUUUAAUUUAUACAUUGAUUAAUGAAUAAAUGAUCCAAUUAUUUUGAUUAUAAGAUUAAGUUACCUUAGGGAUAACAGCGUAAUUUUUUUAGAGAGUUCUUAUCGAUAAAAAAGUUUGCGA
rnacentral:rRNA from 1 species